AUUGAACGCUUGCGGCAGGCCUACCACAUGCAAGUCUAGCGAUUGUCGUACGGGUGAGUUAUUUCUGGGAAACUGCCUGAUGGAGGUGUAUAACUACUUGAAACGCUAGCUAACACCGCCUACCAUCCGAUUUGCCCCGAUGGGCUUAGCUAGUAGUUGGGGUAAUGGCUCCCCUAGGCGACGCUCCCUAGCUCGGCUGAGAGGAGGACCAGCUACACUGGAACUGCGAAACGGUCCAGACUCCUACGGGAGGAAGCAGUGGGGAAUAUUGCACAAUGGGCGCAGGUCUGAUGCAGCCAUGCCGGGUGUAUGAAGAAGGCAUUCGGGUUGUAAAGAACUUGCAGCGAGGAGGAGUUAAACGAAGAAGAAGCAUCGGCUAACACCGUGCCAGCUGCCGCGGUAAUAC
rnacentral:rRNA from 1 species